AGUGAACGCUGGCGGUAGGCCUAACACAUGCAAGUCGAACGGCAGCACAGUAAGAGCUUGCUCUUACGGGUGGCGAGUGGCGGACGGGUGAGGUAUACAUCGGAAUCUACUUUUUCGUGGGGGAUAACGUAGGGAAACUUACGCUAAUACCGCAUACGACCUACGGGUGAAAGCAGGGGAUCUUCGGACCUUGCGCGAAUGAAUGAGCCGAUGUCGGAUUAGCUAGUUGGCGGGGUAAAGGCCCACCAAGGCGACGAUCCGUAGCUGGUCUGAGAGGAUGAUCAGCCACACUGGAACUGAGACACGGUCCAGACUCCUACGGGAGGCAGCAGUGGGGAAUAUUGGACAAUGGGCGCAAGCCUGAUCCAGCCAUACCGCGUGGGUGAAGAAGGCCUUCGGGUUGUAAAGCCCUUUUGUUGGGAAAGAAAAGCAGCAGGUUAAUACCCCGCUGUUCUGACGGUACCCAAAGAAUAAGCACCGGCUAACUUCGUG
rnacentral:rRNA from 1 species